rnacentral:tRNA from 1 species
GUAGUUCAGUGCUAGAAUGCUCGCCUAGUAAGCAUGAGGCCCUGGGUUCAAUCCCCAGC